rnacentral:miRNA from 10 species
AUGGUCCUGAUUUGCCUGGGACUGAGGGGUUUCCUAGGAUGUGGGAAUUUUGGUGCUAAAAGUAGGACAG